AUCUCUAGGAGUUCCAAACUUUCCCACAUUUUUAUGUCUUCUGAGUCCUCCCAACUAUUCCAGCCUCUGCCUGUUAACCAGUUCCGAAGGAGUUCCCCGACCGCUUGUGCUUCCCAGAAGGAAGAAAUUUGGAUACAGAGACAGACAUGCACCAAGAGAAGAUGAUGUGAAGAAACACAGCAAGAAGACCAUGUGAAAAUGGAGGGCUGGAAUGAAGCAUCUACAAGCCAGGAAAUGUCUGAGGCUACCAGAAGCCAGGAGAGAGGCCUGGACCAGAUCCUGCACUAGAGCCUUUAAAGAGAGCAUGGUCCUGCUGAUAUGUUGAUUUUGGACUUCUGGCCUCCAGAGCUGUGAGAAUAAAUUUCAGUUGUUUUAAGCCA